rnacentral:lncRNA from 1 species
GCUCCCGAAGCUCUGCCAGGAGCCGGGAUCAAAUCCAGGGUUCGUUUCCAGGAGUCGUUGGCUUUCCUUUACCCCAUUUCCCCCCCCCCCCCCCUGCCCAGGGCCAGCGCCCUUCCCUGGGCCGCACCUGCUGCUUCUGCCGAGGGCGGUGUCCUAGGCUCUGGGCUGGCGUCCUGGGCAGCCGUCUGGGGGUUCCUGCUGGUGCUCAGGGCGCUUCUCACCGCAGGAAGCGCCGAAGCUGUUCCCCGCUUCAACCCAGGGACUGUCACAGAGGACACGACCCCCCCCCUCCCAGGGAGCUGGCGCGCUGGGGGUGGCGUCCGGGUACCUCCGUGGUCCCAGUCCGAGGGGCCUUCUGUGGUCGGGGUGCGUUCCCCGGGGACCUCCGUGUCGAAGGUGGCUCUCUACCCCUCGCGGCCGCCGCAGCCUGGCAUUCAGCGUCAAGGCCUCGGCACCGGGCCGCGUCUGCCUUUCUGGUCUUCCUUCCUGACCCCCUUCACGUGCCCCCCGUGCCGGCCUGCGGGAACCUGCUGCGUCCACCUGUCCACCCGGGCCUCGCUGGUUUUCUUCCCGUGAAGGGAGAGUGCAGUGACGUGGAAACAAAGUCGCUUAGACACGAGGAAUCAGGCUCUGGUUCAGCUCCAGCCGGGCGGUGGGCGGAGGAGGGGGGUCCCUCACACACCCAAGCCACUCUCCGGCCCUGCGGGCGUCCCAGCAUUCAGCUCAGGGCGGCUGUGCCGGGGCCUCGCACCCAACAUGUGUUUCCAGAAGGAAACUGGACCCAGGCGGCCAGUUCGGGUCGGAAGCCCCAGUUCGGGGAGAGCCCACGUGUCUCAUAUUCUUUGCACAAGAGACUCAUUCUCCUUGACUCGGCUCAGAAAGAGUGAGCAGUGCUUGCACUUCAGGGGUCGAGCGAGGCCCCUUCUCUGACGACCUUUUUCCUAGAUCGAGGGUGGCUUUUUUGAAAAGGGCAAAUCUUUUAGGUUUAUGGCACCUAAGGAUUUAAAAUAUAGUAACUAUUUAGGCUCGUGGUGCUCCAUGCUCUGUGCCAACGACUAGGCGCCGUCGUCUCACGCGGGAAAGUGGCUCCGGUGGUUUCUAGUGACCGCGGGGCUGUGGGCUGGUGAAGCUGUGUUUACCAGACAGUUUCCUGCUUUGUCUUGAACUUGAAGGGUGGCUGUUGGCCCAUGAACUUGGUAACUCCCCCCCACACACUCUCUUGGCUCCUGUAUCACAUGGUCAGUUUCCAUGUAGCUUUAACUAAAAGUACCACUUAUCUCUUGCCUCUGGUAUUGGCAUUCUCCGUCUUUUUAUCUUGAUGUCUUCAUGGAUGGGUUGGAUUUCCUGGGUGGAUAAUACAGACGCAGGGUCUAAGCUGCAAACCUAAGAGAAGAGCUUGGGACAAAUCAGCCCCUCUGGCCUGCCCUCCGGCUGACAGCCCCUCCCAGGAGCCCUCCCCUCCCAGGACCCCCUCCCUUCCCUAGAGCCCCUCCCCUCCCAGGACCCCUUCCCCUGCUGCAGACCGCCCCCUCCCUGGAGCCCCUCCCCUCCCAGGAGGCCUGUUGCACCCGGCUGGCAAGGAGCACGCUAAGGAGAGUGACAGCAGGGUGGGUAAAGCCGGCGCCCACACUGGUGGUUUCUUUUUUUCAUGGGUUUGAAGCAAGGGCUUUCUCCCUCUUAAAGUCCAGGAUAGAGCCCGGCUGUCCUGAGAACCCAGUGAGCGGACCCAGAGGCUCUGGGCUGCGGUGCCUCCCGUCUCGGGCCGGGCCAGCAUGCUGGGGCUGUGCAUCCAUCAGGGAUCAGAAGCCGUUUCAGGCAGCUCAGCGUUACCCAGGUCACACCUCAGCCCUGCAGCCGCCGUGGGUCCACCCGGCGCUGCUCAGGCUGCUCGCGGCCGUGUUGCCGCCCCGAGUGGCAGCUGCUGCAGGCAGAGCGCCUUCCAGGGCCCGCAGCUAUUCUGAGUCCCUGCUAUCUUUAGCCGGUGCGUCAGGCCACCCUGAGGCCAGCAGGCCACCUCCUCCUAGGAGGUUUCAGGAAGUGUGAAGUCGCCUCCCUGCCCCUUUGAAAGUCGGCAAAGGGAACUGGAAAGCUGCAGUUUGGGCCAAUCACGGGUCUGAUUUGAAGCAAACUGGGAAAAACAGUCCCUCUUUGAGGGCUCAGGAUUCAGGCAGCCAGCUCCUCAGGUGUAGCCGUAGUGCGCUGUCCCCGUCGGCCAGAGCUUUCCUGAGAGAAUUCAGGCCUGGUCCCAGCCCGGGGUCUGGGUGGGAUGCGGAGCCUCCCGCAGAGGCCUCUUCGGUUUCCGGGCGUGUGUUCCUGACGCUGCGGGGGAGUUUCCUCAAAGGGAAGUAAGAUCGUCGUCCGGAAACGGAAGCGUAGACGGUGGGCCGAGCAGAUGUCACUCGGGGCCACUCCAGGGCCAAGUGGCGAAUGCCGCCGCGUCGCCCAUCGCUGGACCCGCGGCGGCCGCCAUUCCUUCCCCCGCUCCGUCGCCCGGUUUUCCCGAGCCGUGGGGAAGGAUGAGGCGGCAGGUCCCUGAUCCUUAGCGGCCGCAGAUCAAGGUCCUUGGGCCCAGGGCUCGGUCAUGUCCUGGCCGCUCCUCCAUUUACGUGUGGUGUCUACUCUCUCAGCCUCAGGGUGUCGGGUUAACUCCUCACACGCUGUCUCCGUGGUAAAGGCCUGGGGGGGGGUGCACAUGGAAAUUAGACACAGGAUACUGGGCCCCCAUGCUGUUUUAGGGUGGGGGCUGCGGAGGUGGUCCAACACCCUACUCUCAGGUGGGCUCACACCCCUACUCACAGGUGGGCUCACACCCUACUCACAGGUAGGCUCACACCCCUAAUCUCAGGUGGACUCACACCCCUACUCUCAGGUGGGCCCACACCCUACUCACAGGUGGGUUCACACCCCUACUCACAGGUGGGUUCACACCCUACUCACAGGUGGGCUCACACCCCUGCUCUCAGGUGGACUCACACCCGUACUCACAGGUGGGCUCACACCCCUACUCACAGGUGGGCUCACACCCCUGCUCUCAGGUGGGUUCACACCCUACUCACAGGUGGGCUCACACCCUACUCACAGGUGGGCUCACACCCCUACUCUCAGGUGGACUCACACCCCUACUCUCAGGUGGGCCCACACCCUACUCACAGGUGGGUUCACACCCCUACUCACAGGUGGGUUCACACCCUACUCACAGGUGGC